CUAAUUUCAGAUGUUUAGCAAGCAACACAUAUUCCUCUUUCUUUAAAUUAUCAAACCCUCCAGGUCUGGCGUUUUCAAAAAUUUACCGGCAUCAAAUGCCAUUUUGUAGAAUUUUGUUGGCUAGUUAUAAUAAAAAUUACUAAACAAAUUUUGAAUAAGAUAUUUUCAGUAUCCCGGACGAGCCCCAAUUUCUGUUACGGCC
rnacentral:lncRNA from 1 species